CUCCCGUCGCGUACAUUAUCCCCGUUAAGCACACUGCCUCAUAUCUCUCUGUACAGGGAAGGAUGAGAAUCUUCGAUUAAGGUUCGACUCGAGCGGAAGCGAGAGAACGUUGCCAACGGCAACGGCCCGAAGGGCGCGACGCGCCGAGUCAUCCUUCCCCCACCACAA
rnacentral:sRNA from 1 species